rnacentral:rRNA from 1 species
AUCAUGGCUCGGGAUGAACGCUGGCGGCGUGCUUAACACAUGCAAGUCGAACGGGAAUUACUUUAUUGAAACUUCGGUCGAUUUAAUUUAAUUCUAGUGGCGGACGGGUGAGUAACGCGUGGGUAACCUGCCUUAUACAGGGGGAUAACAGUCAGAAAUGGCUGCUAAUACCGCAUAAGCGCACAGAGCUGCAUGGCUCAGUGUGAAAAACUCCGGUGGUAUAAGAUGGACCCGCGUUGGAUUAG